CUGCUUCUUGAGGCAGGGGAAACUGAUCUGUCAGCCAUGCACAGAGCCCUGCUUAGGCAACUCGACCGAGAUAAAAAGCUGCACAAGUACCUCUAACCGCCAUUGUCACUGUCACCGGGGUUUCUACUGUGAGGACCCCACAAAUUACACCUGCUGGAGACCAUGUGCUCCGUGUCCUCCUGGAUCAUUCUCCAGCGAACCCUCUCUGAAUCAGUCUUGUCUGCAACACACAGUCUGUUCACAUCGGGGAAUGAUCACGAUCUCACCGGGAACGAGCACGAGUGACUCCGUCUGUGGCAACUUCACUCCCGGUCCUCGCGGUCCUCCCAGCAAUCCCUUUACCUCGGCCUCCGUUCCACGAAACACCACUCCCGUCACCACCACCGUCUCUGACGUGUCCACACCUGGAGCCUACACAACAACCAACCCCACAACUCCAGAGCGCCACCUCUCAACAUCUGGCAUCUCCACAGACCGCGUGUUUACACAAGGCAACCACAGUGCUCUAACAAAGUUGACUGUAGCAUCCCCCAUGCCUUUGCUUCACACAAUCGCAACAAACAGAAAUCCUCAAGACCAAAUGGGCAAACCCAUCAGCUGGCAGUUGGCCCUACUGCUUGCAAUUCUGCUCAUUUUUGGAGUCGUUACCCUGGUUUACAAUUGCAGGCAUAAAGGUCUUUCAUUUGGGGAUUAUCAAAAGUAUGUUGUUGCAAGGAACAUUCUGCACAAGGACGGCUAUACUGACAAUACACCUCAGCAGAAAAACGUCUACCCUCUGAACAGCAGUGAGUGUCUCAACACACAGAAGGGGGCGCUUGUGCCUUCCUCUGGGUCGUGCAAAGGGGGUGUACAACAUGUCACUGUGGAUGGGCUCGGGAGAGGGGAAAACAUCAGCAACACUGUGGGGUCCAUAUUCAUCUACUCUCCCGGGACGGUGGUUCUGGGUGCCAAUGCUGCAGAGCGAAAGGAGGACAACAAGGAGGAGGCAGGGGAGUGCUUGCUCGUCAACGUGCCCCAGCAGGAGUCCCACUCUAACCCUUGGAUCCCUGACAACAGCGACCCCAUGACUGUGAGCUCACAAGAAGAGGAAGGAAGCACAAAGCUGAGCUACCCUAUCCCUGCUACCAGCAAGUGAAAGCGUGUACCCUAUAGUGAUUGAUAGAGGUACAUGCCAUUUUGGCUAUGGCCACUGACUUCUGAUGAACCCAGGGCUACUGGGACAAGGCCUGUGCUUCAAGAUUAUCACAAUGGGGGGAAUUCCACAUCAGCAAGUGUGGCUAGUAGUGAGCGAGUAACAAAAAUUCCUGUGCUGCCUUCUGGUGAAAUUUCACUUCCUUUGUCACAAGCAAAGGGCGAUGUAUGACCCUGCAAAUGGAGGAUUUAUUACAUUUUGUGUGGCAAUAACCUGUUAAAAAGUGAGGUUGAGGGGGAAAAAACACAGAAUACACUCUUUGACUCUUGAAUUGAGUCAAAGAUUAGAUUGAGUAACAAGAGCUUAUAAAGUUGGUUCAUCUGAAAAGCUCAGCACUGGAAAAUGGAGAGUCAUUUACAUGCCGUGGGUCGUUCUGUGCUGAGGUAAUGAGGGUAGAUCGGGGCUGUACAGUUUGUGUAUGUGUGUCUUUUUUUGUCUGUGUAUGUGGGUUAUAUUAAGUACAUCAAGGCUGGAGGCGGAAAGAACACGGCUGCUUAAACAGGCAGUCUCACAAAAGCACGAUCCCCCAAAAUGCUAUUCAUACAGUUUCAGCACACAUGUAGAAAGUACUUCUGACUUUCCUCCUUUGUCUUUUUCAACAGACUAUAGGAGGUGCACUGUUUUAAUGUGGGCUGUGAUUUCAAGUGCCAAGGGAAACAACAAAUCUGAUCUUGGACUCGUAUUGCAUGUUUUGUUAUGUAUUCUGUCAGCAAAGUUCUGUUAUCGCGCUCCACCCUGCUGUUGUGUAGCAAGUGCUUGUUUAAUGUGCUGGUUUUAAUUCAGAAAGUGAGCAUGUAUCUGAGUGGGGUUGUGCCCAGUAGUAAGAGGAGGAAAAACUUAACAUUUAGGGUCAGAAACUCUAGUACAUUAACUACUUGUCAAACCUCACAAUAUCGACCGGUGUCUGUGAAGAUUCUCAGUCAUCCAGGUGAAUUUGUCUGAAAGUUGAGUCAUGACAACUGGACUUUCUUUCUUUUCUACAUUCUUUUCAGACAUAUAGACUGGUAGAUGUCUGUAUAUAGGUCAGUACACUUUCAACAGUCGUCAUCCCAAACAGGUUGGUGUGGGUUACACUGAUGUGUGCUCUCACAUUAUACAUCUGAAAGGGAACUCUGUUUCUAACUGUGACUUUGUUUUUAUGCAUGAGUAAACUGAAUACAGAGUACUUAAAAAGUCCCUCCAUUUUAUACUCAUUUGUUUUUUUGUCAAAAUUAUGUUUAGUUAAACCUUUAGUAACCCCCUGGGUAACACACUCGCCUAUGAAUCAGAAGACCACAAAAUCUCAGGUUUAAACCCCACUUACUACGAUUGUGUCCCUGAGCAAGACACUUAACCCUGAGUGUCUCCAGGGGGACUGUCCCUCUAACUUCUGAUCAUAAGUCAAUCUGGAUAAUCUGCUAAAUGCCAUAAAUGUAAAAUUUAAGACAAUUCCAUGUCUUCCUUCCUUGCUUCCAUGUCUGCUGUUUAAAUGAUCAGCUCUACCACAAGGAUUUCGAACCACUUCUGUGGGUGCAACCUCCCUAUUUCUGGGCAGGUGAUUUAUCCGGCCUGCACAUGAUUUGGUGACCGUGACUUUGCUGACCUUUUAUCUGCAUCUUUAAACAUUUACACAAUGAACAUGAGAGAAAAAAGGGGAAAUCCAUACCAAUGGAUGCGAUGAUGGACUCUCUUCCAUAACGACCUGUUUCUCAAGACCUCUUGUGUACUUCUUUUUGUUUUCUACCUCUUUUUUUAGUUACUUGACCUUGACAUGACUUUAUUACACAAACUGAACGGUACUAAAACAUAAAUAGGCUUGAGAGACAAAGUGAUCUGGAAUAGCUCUCAACACGUUCAACAACUAACAUGGACUGGAGAUGACAAUAGGCAGUUUAUUUACAUGCAAGUGAAAAGGUGGGACUGAGAAUCAUUCAAACAAGAACAGACCAAAAUGUGACUUCAUCUGGUGUCCCAGGGUCACCAUGAUGUGACAUAUUGAGAGCUAUUUUAUUUCAGUUUCAUGUUUGAGUAUUGUCCAGUAUGCGUAAUAAAGUCAUGAUCCAGUCAUGCA
ensembl:lncRNA uncharacterized LOC114801170